UACGAAGGGGGCUAGCGUUGUUCGGAUUUACUGGGCGUAAAGCGCACGUAGGCGGAUCGUUAAGUCAGAGGUGAAAUCCUGGAGCUCAACUCCAGAACUGCCUUUGAUACUGAGAAUCUUGAGUAUGGGAGAGGUGAGUGGAACUGCGAGUGUAGAGGUGAAAUUCGUAGAUAUUCGCAAGAACACCAGUGGCGAAGGCGGCUCACUGGCCCAUAACUGACGCUGAGGCACGAAAGCGUGGGGAGCAAACAGG
rnacentral:rRNA from 1 species